GCUUUGAUGGUGUGUAGUUUUAUAAUAAUCUAUCAGAUUGUUUUUUCAAGACUGUUGAUAUUGGUUAGGGACAGGUCAUUAUUUAUGGAAGGGGGGGGGGGAAUUUUUUCUUUUCUAAAUUUUUAAAAUUGAAANNNNNNNNNNNNNNNNNNNNCAAAACACUUUACCCCUGAAGAAUUCCAAGCUCAAACCACUGUACCCCUGAAGAAUUCCAAACUCAAAACACUGUACCCCUGAAGAAUUCCAAGCUAAAAACACUGUACCCCUGAAGAAUUCCAAACUCAAAAUCCUUUACCCCUGAAGAAUUCCAAGCUCAAAACAAUCUACCCCUGAAGAAUUCCAAGCUCAAAACACCCUACCCCUGAAGAAUUCCAGGUAUCCUCGACAGGGGGGGUACGGAUAUUAAAUGGAAUAGCCCAUUGUUUAUUUAGAGCACUGUCGUAUAUUUUAACCGGUAGACAAACAUACCACAUGAUUUUAGGACAAAAAAUAGUGGAUCACAUGAACAGUAUAGAACAUGUCCUUAGACCAUAUAUGAAUAGUUCAGUAGAUCAUUAUUUAGCCACAAGCAACAUGAGGAACAGUGGUGUGUGGGGGACUGAUAUUGAAAUUUUUGCAGCCAUUCCCUUUUCAAUGUAGAUAUUUAUGUUUAUUCACAGUUUGGUAACAAUUAUAGAUGGUCUAAAAAGAAAAAGAAUAUUGGACACUGAGGCAGCAUUACCACCUGGAUUUACUUAAACACUGUACUGCC
rnacentral:lncRNA from 1 species